rnacentral:lncRNA from 1 species
UAAACCAUAAAACAGGGGCGUGAGAACUAUUAAAAAUAGUUCCCAGUGGGCAAUUACUGACUUCAGUGAAUGCACCACAAGGCCCAAAGCUACAAAAUAUGUCAGUGACUAUAAAAGUAGAAAGGCGAAAGGUACGUAAAAAUGUAACUUACUACAACAUGAUAUCUCUACUUAGCAUAAAUAGCAUAAGUAUGAAAGCAACUAUGCAUGAAGUAAAAGUCUCCCACUAUCAUAAUGUUCACGAUGCGAAAUAGUAAAGUUCCGUUGUUUACUAUUCUAGUCAAUGUCCAAGUAGUACACUAAGUCAUCAUCUGUCCACAUAUCAUAAUGGAUACACAAAGUAAAAUCUGAAGAGACCCACCCGAAGGCUGUCUAUGGCCCUGAGACCCACCC